ACCUUUAAUAUAGUUAAUGUUAAACAACCAAGGUUUAAUAAAAGGGUAGCUAGAAAGGAACAGAGAAAGACAAAUUGGUGAUGAUUGAUUCCCAAUAACAACCAAAAGAGGGCCCCCAACCUAUAGAUAGAGGAGUCCAUAAAUUUGAUGGUAGCGCCCAUGUCGUAUAUAUAGGGCAGUCCAAGGCCAUGCUUUGCCAGAACAGUCGAUGUCCCCAUAUGUCCAAGUCACUGCAGAUGAGCCGAGGCACCGGUCCAAAAUGAACCACACCCCACGUUGUGACGUUGAGAAAUGUACAUUAGAUUGUGGCAUUGCCUAUUAUGUAGGUGCCUUGGAGGUUGAAAAAAUAUUAGGGAAAUAAUUUAAUAGUUUAUUUUUUAAAUGAAUAGAUUUUUGGGUAAUCGAUAUAAAUAAUCACGUAAUUAUUUAUACGUUUCUGCUUUAGUCACUCAAAUUUAAAUUUUUUUAUUUUAGUCAAUAAUAUUAUCGAAAUUUAAUAUUUUAGUCACUCAUCUGUUAAAUAAAUAACAAAUACUGACAUAACUUUUUUCACUAGCAUAAUAACUAAUUUAGCCCUCAAGUAUUUAUAUAUUUUAUCAAUUAUGUUUUAAUUUCUAAAAAUUCAACAAAUUUAACCUUAAUUUUAUACAUUAUGUCAAUUUAAUCUUGAUUUUUAGAAAUUCUAAAAUUAAAAUUCUAAAAUAUUUAAAAAAUAAAAAAUAAAAAAUAUUUAAACAUUCAUUUUUCAAUAAAAAUACAUACAAAAUUAUAAAUAAAUUAUAAAUAAACGAAUAUAUAUAUUUUCAUUUUCUAACAUUACGUUAUUACUUAAAAUAAUAAUUUUAUAAAUAAACUAAUUUAAGGAAAAAAAAUAUUGAAGAAGACUUGAGCAAGCCUUUUUCUUUUAUCAACAUUGACGACCAACAUGAUCUGGUUGGGCCAAAACUAUAGCUUGAGGCCGAAAACCCCUUGCAUCGGAGCACUCUCCUAACUUCCUUUUCAGUGGUGGUGCACUCAUAAGUGGCACCAACCAUCGGUUCUUUGUGUCUCCUGAAAGGCACUCUCUUUCCACCCUUGUCAUAGAACUCUUAAUAGCCUCUCCAUGGUUGUUUCUAGCCAUGAUUGAUGAGAAAAGGUAAUGAAUCAGGGGAGAAAGAUUUAGAAAAACGAGGCCUUACCACGAAAAAUCAUGAGAGCGAAACAUGCAAACAAAGAUAAAGAAAAGUCAAGACUAAAAGAACGAAUGAGGCAAGGAAAUUGAAAAACUGAUUGAAAGCUCGAAGAAAUUCAAAAAGUGGUCGCAAAAAGAGCACAAAAAACCUGGAAAUUUUGAGACAGAAAAAUAACUUGAAGAUUGACGAAGAAACCUAUAUAUAGACCUCUUCCAAAACGGUCUGUUUCAUCGCACAAAAACGGUUCAAUUUUUAUUAAAUGUAGAAGUUUUAAAAUCUCCAGUACGACCUUUCAACUCUAAAAGCAUCCUCAACAUGUGCGAGAGGCAACUUUUGGUAUUCUAGACCACCCGCUACUUGAUUUACGAUAAUUACCACUUGUUGAGACUACCUGCGGAUGGUCUUGAGACAAACUAUUUUAUAAUCUACCUCUACCUCCGCUUGCACACAUGGUAUCACAAGAAGUAGCUUGGGAGGCACUCGUGGGUGUCCCUUCACUUUACACCUCUUGAUGACUAGCUACUCGCAUGCCUUAGACGUUCUAUAAGAAGGCCAUUCAUCCUUGGCUCCUACUAUUAAUGGGUCUUCUAUUAGGCCAUCUGCUUUCAGCAGGUUGUUCUCUUUUCCUAAGUGGGACCCUUGAAACCUAACAAUCUCGUACUAUCUCACCAAUGAAAAUGUCUAGUAUCACGUUUGACGAUAAUUGACACAUAAUGGACUUGCCACUCGGCCAAUCAUACGAGUGUGUAUCCU
rnacentral:lncRNA from 1 species